GGGGGGGGUGGUACCAGGGAUCGAACUCAGGUCCUUGCGCUUGCGCAGCAGGCGGUGAAACCACUGAGCUAAAUCCCCGGCCCUAAUUUUUAUUUUUGGUACCAGGGAUUGAACUCGGGACCUUGGGCUUGUGAGUCCGGCAGUGGCACCACUGAGCUAAAUCCCUGGCCCAACCCUUUUUAUUUUUUAAAUUUUGAGUCAAGGUCUUGCUAAUUUGCUAAAUUGGCCAGGCUGCACUUGGACGUGUAGCCUGCCUUGGCAGAGCCCUGGGAUCGAAGGUGUGCACCACCACGCCUGGCUCUACCUUUUAUUCUUUUUUUUUUUUUGAGGCAGGAUCUCCCUACAUAGCUCAGGCUGGCCUGGAAUUUACAGUGAUCCUCCUGCUUCAGCCUGCCAAGCGCUGGGAUUACAGUUCUCUUGAGUACAGACCCAGGGGUGAAACUGCUGCAUCCUGUAACAACUGCCAGGCUCGGUUCCACAGUGGCUGCAGCACCUCGCAUUCCUUCCAGCAGUGUGUGCAAAGUGUCAGCAGCUUCCCCAGCAUUACCGAAGAAUUCUGUAAGAGAACUUCCAUCCCGUACCAAAAAAAAACACAAACUCCCGCUGGGCAUGGUGACACACGCUUGUAAUCCCAGGACUCGGGAGGCUGAGUUAGGAGGCUCACUAUGAGUCUGAGGACAGCCUGGCUACAUAGUGAGUUCAAGGCCAGCCUGAACUACAGAGCAAGACUCUGUCUCAACCCCAUCCCCCAAAAUAAUAAUAAACCAAACUUUUAGACCUGGGCGUGGUUGAGCACAUCUGUAACCCUAGCACUUGGGAGGUUGAGGCAGGAGGAUCUGUGGUUUGAGGCCAGUCUGGGCUACAUAAUGAGACCCUAUCUCAAACAAACAAAUAAAUAAUAACUGUUUUGUAACUCAUGAUAGAGCACUUGCCUAAAAUGCAGGUGGCCCUGGGUUUGAUCUCCAGCACUGAGGGAAAAAAAUACUUUUUAGAUAGUACAGAGUUCCCAUUUACACUGUACCCAGCCACCUAACAUUGUGUGGCACAACUGUUAAAAUGCUCAACUGGAACAAUGUUGUCAUUAGCCAAAGUCCACUCACUCACCCCUUAGUGUUCACCCGAUGUCCUUGGUUCUGGAACUGCCAGGAUUAUUGCAUUAUACUGAGUCUCCUCUCCUUAGGAGCCUCUUGAGAUUAUUUCCCAGAUUUCCUGACUUUCCUUGUUUUGAGGAUCUUUUUUUUUUGGUACCAGGAAUCAAACUUGGGACCUUGGACUUGUGAGGCAGGUGCCGGAACCACUGAGCUAAAUCCCCAACCCUUGUUUUGAGGAUCUUGAUAGGCUUAGGGGAGAAUUCUUUAUGGUUUUUUGAGACGGGGUCUCCCUGUGUAGCCCAGGCUGGCCUUGAACUCAUGGCGAUGCUCCUGCCUCAGCCUCCUGAGUGCUGGGAGUACAGGCGUUGCACCUCCAUGCCGAGCUAGGAGAGAGUUUGUGUGUGUGUGUGUGUGUGUGUGUGUAGUUGGGAAUCUUACCUAGGGCCUCAAGCAUGCCAGGCAAGUAUUCUACUAUUAAGCUGCAUCCUCAGUCCCAUCUUGACAGUUUGGAAGAGUACUGGUCCACAAUUUUUUGGUUUUGUUUUUGUUUGCUUUUUGAGACAGGAUCUCGCUAUGCACUUGAGGUGAUCCUCCUGCCUCAGCCUCUUGAAUGUUGGAAUUAGGAACCACCACACCCAGGGGGCCUUCUCACUGAGUUACGUCCCCUCGGAUCCCUGCCCCCACCCCUUUUCCAGAGGAUGGAGAAAAGAAGUCUUGCUAAAUUGCCCAGGCUGGUCCAACAUGCAUUUCUGUGGCCUCAGUCACCCAGAAUGCUGGGAUUAGGAACCCAGACGUCUGCCCCUGGCUAAAUUGUUCCAGUUUUAUAUUGGCAUCUAAAUCCCUUGACAUAGCUCCAUCCCUAGGGGAGAGGUGUUUCUAGCACUGAAACCUACUUUGUCCUGUUCAUCCUUUUGUGUCUUUGGAAUUUCUUGCAGCCACUACCUGCUACUAAUGUAACAUUAAAAAAAAAACAAAAAAACAACUGACAAAGUUUCUUUCCCUCGCUGGUGAACUUUACCUCCCCAGAGACACCUGUUCAUUUCUUUUUUGUUUCUCCUGGAGAAUUACAAACGUUUACAUAGAGUACACAAGGUUCUGUGUCCUGGGACUGUUCCUCCUCAGCACACAGAAGAGGUCUACCCCCUACACAACAAAGCCUUUUCACUGAGAUACAGCCCCAGCACUUUCUUUUUUAUUUUGAGGCAGGGUUUUGCUAAAUUGCCCAGGUUAGGCUCAAGCUUGCAAACCUCCUACCUUGGCCUCUCAGAGUGCUAGGAUUACUGACAGGCACCACCGCAGCCAGCUCUACCUUCUUCUUUAUCAUUUGCAUAGUAUUCCAUUGUAAGACAAUGCCAACAUAUACAUAUUUAAGACAUCUCUGCCCAUAGACAUUUCCAUUCUUUCUAGUCUUCUACUAAAACAACAUGAGCAAAUACCCACAUAUCUGUACUCUUGAGCAAAUACAUCUGCACCAUGAAUUCCUACACACAGAUUUGCACAGCCAGAGGAUAUGCUUUCA
ensembl:lncRNA